CCCUAGUAACGGCGAGUGAAGCGGCAACAGCUCAAAUUUGAAAUCUGGCCCUAGCGGUCCGAGUUGUAAUUUGUAGAGGAUGCUUUUGGCGCGGUGCCUUCUGAGUUCCCUGGAACGGGACGCCAGAGAGGGUGAGAGCCCCGUACGGUUGGCCGCCUAGCCUAUCUAUAGCUCCUUCGACGAGUCGAGUAGUUUGGGAAUGCUGCUCUAAAUGGGAGGUAAAUUUCUUCUAAAGCUAAAUACCGGCCAGAGACCGAUAGCGCACAAGUAGAGUGAUCGAAAGAUGAAAAGCACUUUGAAAAGAGGGUUAAAUAGCACGUGAAAUUGUUGAAAGGGAAGCGUUUGCGACCAGACUUUCUCCUGGCGGAUCAUCCGGUGUUCUCACCGGUGCACUUCGCCUGGUUUAGGCCAGCAUCGGUUUCCUUAGGGGGAUAAAGGCCCUGGGCACGUAGCUCUUCAGGGAGUGUUAUAGCCCUUCGCGUAAUACCCCUCGGGGGACCGAGGAUCGCGCUCUGCAAGGAUGCUGGCGUAAUGGUCGUCAACGACCCGUCUUGAAACACGGACCAAGGAGUCGAACAUUUGUGCGAGUGUUUGGGUGUCAAACCCUCACGCGUAAUGAAAGUGAACGGAGGUGAGAGCCCCUCGGGGUGCAUCAUCGACCGAUCCUGAUGUCUUCGGAUGGAUUUGAGUAAGAGCAUAACUGUUCGGACCCGAAAGAUGGUGAACUAUGCGUGGAUAGGGUGAAGCCAGAGGAAACUCUGGUGGAGGCUCGCAGCGGUUCUGACGUGCAAAUCGAUCGUCAAAUCUGCGCAUGGGGGCGAAAGUACGUAAUACCAGCUACCCUGUAGCUACCCUGUAACAAAUGAAUUUUUAUGCUAACGACGAACUCUCUACAGGACUUAUCG
rnacentral:rRNA from 1 species